GACGAACGCUGGCGGCGUGCUUAACACAUGCAAGUCGAACGGAAAGGCCCUGCUUUUGUGGGGUGCUCGAGUGGCGAACGGGUGAGUAACACGUGAGUAACCUGCCCUUGACUUUGGGAUAACUUCAGGAAACUGGGGCUAAUACCGGAUAGGAGCUCCUGCUGCAUGGUGGGGGUUGGAAAGUUUCGGCGGUUGGGGAUGGACUAGCGGCUUAUCAGCUUGUUGGUGGGGUAGUGGCUUACCAAGGCUUUGACGGGUAGCCGGCCUGGGAGGGUGACCGGCCACAUUGGGACAGAGAUACGGCCCAGAAUCCUACGGGUGGCAUCAGUGGGGAGUAUUGCACAAUGGGCGGAAGCCUGAUGCAGCAACUCCGCGUGCGGGAUGACGGCCUUCGGGUUGUAAACCUCUUUCGCCUGUGACGAAGCGUGAGUGACGGUAAUGGGUAAAGAAGCCCGGGCUAACUACGUG
rnacentral:rRNA from 1 species